rnacentral:rRNA from 1 species
UAGGGAAUCUUCGGCAAUGGGGGGAACCCUGACAGAGCAACGCCGCGUGAGUGAAGAAGGUUUUCGGAUCGUAAAGCUCUGUUGUUAAGGAAGAACGAGUGAGAGAAUGGAAAGUUCAUACUGUGACGGUAGUUAACCAGAAAGGGACGGCUAACUACGUGCCAGCAGCCGCGGUAAUACGUAGGUCCCGAGCGUUGUCCGGAUUUAUUGGGCGUAAAGCGAGCGCAGGCGGUUAGAUAAGUCUGAAGUUAAAGGCAGUGGCUCAACCAUUGUAGGCUUUGGAAACUGUUUAACUUGAGUGCAGAAGGGGAGAGUGGAAUUCCAUGUGUAGCGGUGAAAUGCGUAGAUAUAUGGAGGAACACCGGUGGCGAAAGCGGCUCUCUGGUCUGUAACUGACGCUGAGGCUCGAAAGCGUGGGGAGCGAACAGG